AGAAGCCCUGAAGGAGGAACUCCCUCUGGGGAUCCUCCAACCACUGCGUACCAGAGUGGGGUGGAGAGCCGAGGGUUAGAGAGAGGGAAAGAGCAGAAUUCAGGCACUUAAACAGCCCAAAAGUCCCAUGCUGCUGGGCUCGUUGGAGGGGAAGCAGGGAAGCCAGAGGCUGUGACUUACCGUGCCGGGUUCAGAUGCUGCCAACUGGGAACCUUGUCACAAUGUGGUAUCUCAGUCCAGAGUCCUAUUCAUCACAUACAUACCCCAGACUGACUGGGAGCCUAAUUCCCAAUGUGUGGCAGGUCAGUCCCAAUGGGCCACCUUCUUGAAAUUCAGCUUAAUAAUAACUUCAGGAACAUUUCAAGGCAGUCACCCUCACCAGGCCCCAAGGAGGGUGUUCUAGCUCUAAACCCAGCCCGUAAUACCAGGGACCCAUUUUUCUCACAAGCUUAGCCAGCUGCUCAGGCCACUCAGACGCUACACCCAUGGAUGAAAAUGGUGGGCCUGCUCCCUGCUUCAAGCGGCGCUCCAGUCUUUAAGAAGCAAAGCGACUCCCAAAUCUAAAACUACCUUUAUUUGUGGUUGGCUCAGCAUAAAUCACCUUCAUCAAUGAGCAGAAUUAUAAAACUGUACAAGAGGUACAAAAAUAGGCCGUUUACCUUAGAUAACGGCCCUCAUAUCAUGAGCUUUAAAAAAUACACAUAAAAGUUGUACAAUCUGGCAGUUUAUAAAAUAUAAAGCUAAAAAGAAUAUUUUAGUUUCCAUGAAGAGGAGUGAAUCAUACAAUCAGCACAUAUCAAUUAAACAAUUACCUGUCCACAGAGAAGACACAUGGCACAUGAUUUUAAAAAAAUCGUCUAAAAAUUAACAUUUUACCCAGACCAAACUAUUUACCCUUUACAGAUAAGGCUACCAUAAGGUGGCAGGAUACAGUGUGACUUUCCUUUUCCAGUUUUAAAAUGGUCAGGGUAUUCAAAACAGAUCUGAUGUGCUUUAAGCAAGUGCAAUUGUAACCAGAUAACUUCAGAGUAAAAAUUAAAUAAAUAUAAAUAGAUUCAAUAAAUAGGUCGUUGCAAAAAGAACUACACAAGGUCCUUGUAUGGGGACGCCACAUAGCUGGCUGGUAAUGCUUAGGUGAGUAGGUGAGUGGGGACUCCCCAUCACAGUUUUAGGGACACUGGGAAGGAAUACUAUACCCACCAAACACAUGGGCAACAGGAGACAUGAGGCCACAGGACUCUGGCAAGCAGUGUAGCUAAGGCUGCUCCAGAGGGAGGCUCAGCACAGAUGACACAGCCUCUGUGUCUUUCUAGAAACAACAUAAGAGACCUAAGUGCCCAAAGCAACCAGAAUUACACAUGGAAGGCCAAUCACUAGUUUAUAAUGAAAACCAAGAAUAGGGAAGAGAGCAGGCACUUUGGCUUCAAAGAAUUCAGACCUCAGUUGGAGGUCUGAUAACCUUCAGGGGAAGCAGACCCCUGGUGGCCAACACCCUGGCUUCCAGAUGUGAGUGAUGGGUAAGGAUAGAGCUGUUGGAGAAGCAAUCACAGAGAAACAUGAAGAGGGAUUUCAGAGGGCAGCUGUUGCUUGCUCUUUCUGCACCUCUGGAUGAUGAAGACAAUGAACAAGGAACAGAGCCAGAAGCAGAUGGAAGAAUCCUGGCAGAGCUGGAGGGUGGGACCUGCAGAACGUCACACAGGACCAAAGCCCUGCAGAUGACAAGCAAGUGACCAGCACAGGAGAGCUUGCAGCCAGAGGUGACUCUGCAGAUGGGUCACAGCAGCAGCUGACUGAAUUACAUGUGCACAAGUCCUCCAUAAAAUCAAGUGGAGUCUGAGCAGCCUCUCAUCCCAUGUUGGGUAGAGAGCACUUGGCUGCGUCUGCUGACCCCAGACCUCCACCUUCUCUGUAAUGCAUCACGGGAAGAGCCUACAGUUACUGCUUUACUGAGAGCAGGGGACAACUCUGCAGAGGUUCACGUCAGUCUCUAGAUGGCCCAGUGAUACCUAUGUUCCCAAAAGUGCAAGUGCUUUGGUGCUUAAUGACUCGGCACAUUUCCUAAACUUAAAUCUCAACACAAGACAAGGUUUUAACAAAGAUAACAUCCCACAGCUCGAUUCCAUCCUAAAGCUGAAGGUGCUGGGCAGUCUUCCAGGGAUCCCAGCAGCCUCUCAAGAUGCUACAAUGCACAGAGCUGCCCGGGCCUGAAGGCAGACAGCAUCUCUUGCUGAGCACCCCAGAUGCCCAGUGUUUUCGUGACACCCAGAGAGCUAACAACUGCCUUGUUCCUAGAGGACACACAGAGGCGAGCUGACCACAAGCUGACUGGUUCUGAGAUGGACAGUUUUAAGGCACAAGUGGGGCAAACCCCAAAUAUACAUCCUUCCUACCCA